rnacentral:ncRNA from 1 species
AUAAAAACGUUGAUGAGGAAAGUAAUGGUUUGAAUGACAUCUACAGAGAGCCGUAGCUGCUGAAAUACGGUGUUGUCACAUUCGAUGAAACUCCCCUCUGAGUGUUGGUCUGAACGCAUAGCUAUUAAGAUCAACCGGGUGUUCACUAGCACUCGUUAUUAAAAUGGGUAAGCACAUGUUUACCCGCUAAGAUCAAGAAUAUCUUGAUGAAUAAGGGUGGUACCGUGGAAAGAGAAUCUUUUCGCCCCUUCG